AGAGUUUGAUCCUGGCUCAGGAUGAACGCUGGCGGCGUGCCUAAUACAUGCAAGUCGAGCGAACCACUUUGGUGGUGAGCGGCGAACGGGUGAGUAACACGUAGGUCAUCUGCCCAUCAGACGGGGACAACGAUUGGAAACGAUCGCUAAUACCGGAUAGGACGAAAGUUUAAAGGUGCUCUUGGCACCGCUGAUGGAUGAGCCUGCGGCGCAUUAGCUAGUUGGUAGGGUAAAGGCCUACCAAGGCGACGAUGCGUAGCCGACCUGAGAGGGUGAACGGCCACACUGGGACUGAGACACGGCCCAGACUCCUACGGGAGGCAGCAGUAGGGAAUCUUCGGCAAUGGGCGAAAGCCUGAUGCAGCGACGCCGCGUGAGGGACGAAGGCCUUCGGGUUGUAAACCUCUUUCAGCAGGGAAGAAGCGAAAGUGACGGUACCUGCAGAAGAAGCGCCGGCUAACUACGUGCCAGCAGCCGCGGUAAUACGUAGGGCGCAAGCGUUAUCCGGAAUUAUUGGGCGUAAAGAGCUCGUAGGCGGUUUGUCGCGUCUGCUGUGAAAGCCCGGGGCUCAACCCCGGGUCUGCAGUGGGUACGGGCAGACUAGAGUGCAGUAGGGGAGACUGGAAUUCCUGGUGUAGCGGUGAAAUGCGCAGAUAUCAGGAGGAACACCGAUGGCGAAGGCAGGUCUCUGGGCUGUAACUGACGCUGAGGAGCGAAAGCAUGGGGAGCGAACAGGAUUAGAUACCCUGGUAGUCCAUGCCGUAAACGUUGGGCACUAGGUGUGGGGGACAUUCCACGUUUUCCGCGCCGUAGCUAACGCAUUAAGUGCCCCGCCUGGGGAGUACGGCCGCAAGGCUAAAACUCAAAGGAAUUGACGGGGGCCCGCACAAGCGGCGGAGCAUGCGGAUUAAUUCGAUGCAACGCGAAGAACCUUACCAAGGCUUGACAUGAACCGGAAAGGCCUGGAAACAGGUCCCCCACUUGUGGCCGGUUUACAGGUGGUGCAUGGUUGUCGUCAGCUCGUGUCGUGAGAUGUUGGGUUAAGUCCCGCAACGAGCGCAACCCUCGUUCUAUGUUGCCAGCGGGUUAUGCCGGGGACUCAUAGGAGACUGCCGGGGUCAACUCGGAGGAAGGUGGGGACGACGUCAAAUCAUCAUGCCCCUUAUGUCUUGGGCUUCACGCAUGCUACAAUGGCCGGUACAAAGGGUUGCGAUACUGUGAGGUGGAGCUAAUCCCAAAAAGCCGGUCUCAGUUCGGAUUGAGGUCUGCAACUCGACCUCAUGAAGUUGGAGUCGCUAGUAAUCGCAGAUCAGCAACGCUGCGGUGAAUACGUUCCCGGGCCUUGCACUCACCGCCCGUCAAG
rnacentral:rRNA from 1 species